CCUACGGGUGGCUGCAGUGGGGAAUAUUGGACAAUGGGGGCAACCCUGAUCCAGCCAUGCCGCGUGUGUGAAGAAGGCCCUCGGGUUGUAAAGCACUUUCAGUGAGGAAGAACGCCUGGUGGUUAAUACCCAUCAGGAAAGACAUCACUCACAGAAGAAGCACCGGCUAACCUCCGUGCCAGCAGCCGCGGUAAUACGGAGGGUGCGAGCGUUAAUCGGAAUUACUGGGCGUAAAGCGCGCGUAGGUGGCUUGAUAAGCCGGUUGUGAAAGCCCCGGGCUCAACCUGGGAACGGCAUCCGGAACUGUCAAGCUAGAGUGCAGGAGAGGAAGGUAGAAUUCCCGGUGUAGCGGUGAAAUGCGUAGAGAUCGGGAGGAAUACCAGUGGCGAAGGCGGCCUUCUGGACUGACACUGACACUGAGGUGCGAAAGCGUGGGUAGCAAACAGGAUUAGAUACCCUGGUAGUC
rnacentral:rRNA from 1 species